UAUGUUCGUGUUUAAUCAUUCACGCGAAAUCUGUUCUCGGAGACACGGCUUUAUUUUGUUCCUGCCUGCCUUAUUUCAUACUGCAGUAACAUAGAGCAAUCAACAGAUUUCAAGAUAUCCACGAAGGGAAACAUCUGCAGAGUCAAAACACUAACAAGAAGGAGAAGGUCAUUAAUAAUGAAAAAUAGAAAACACCAGAACUGUCCUGAAAAGACAACUUUAAUUCUCAUUAUGUCGAAAUGUUGAGAUAUUUGAUAACAUUAUCGUGAAGAUACCACUGCCUCAGCUGCCUGCCUGAACCACAGUAGUGAAACCGCUAUACUGUUAAAGUGGCAACUCUCUGCAAAACUUAGUAUAUCAAAGAAGCUGUUCUGUCAGCAGUGAAUAAUUAAUAUAAAAGAAAAUUGGCAAAAGAAAUAUUGACCUAUUGCAAUGGAAACAUAUUGUUCUGUCAGUAAAUAUCAUUAAAAAAAGCUGUUUUGUCAGCAAUGAGAAUUAAAAAAGAGCUGUUUUGUCAGCAAUGAGAAUUAAAAAGAAGAGUUGUUUUGUCAUCAAUGAGAAUUAAAAAAAAAAAAGAGCUGUUUUGUCAGCAAUGAGAAUUAAAAAAAUAGCUGUUUUGUCAGCAAUGAGAAUUAAAAAAAGAGCUGUUUUGUCAGCAAUGAGAAUUAAAAAAAGCUGUUUUGUCAGCAAUGAGAAUUAAUAAAGCUGUUUUGUCAGCAAUGAGAAUU